UAAUUAUUUAGAAAAAUAUUUAUUCUCAAUGAUAAAAAAAUAAAAUAAAAUUAAUCAUGUUAGUAUAAAAUAAAUGAAUAAUACAUUAAAAAUUUUUUAAAAUAAAAUAAGUUUUUAAAUAAAUUUUACAAUAUUUUUUUUAAUUAUGAAAGAUAUGAAUAAUUUCUUUUAAUUAGAAAAUCAUUUUGUAUUAUUUGCGGGUAAACACAUUUUUCUUUGUUUUUCAUGGAAAAUGAGUUUUUUCUUAGAAAAUGAAAAAUGGAAUACAGAAAAUUGUUUUUCACAAGUAAACAAGUCUUAGUUUGUGAGAUGGAAUUGGAAGCUCCUUUCUUGUAAUUAUAUGUGUUAUGAAUGUUGCUAUAUUGCUACUAAUUGAAUUGACUUGCAAUUUGAAUUGACUUGCAAUUUUCAGUCUUCUCUGUUGCGUUGUGUUGGUUUGUUCAUGUUGAAUUAAUACUUCUCUAUGCUUUGCCAUUUUGGGAACAAGAAUGCAUCUCACCAGCAAGCGGAAGCAUAUGGAGAUCUUAAGAGGAAAUUU
rnacentral:misc_RNA from 1 species